CACGAUCUGCGGUGUACGGAGUUCGAAUUAUCUUAAUCCACAAUGUAAUUACGGGAGCGCUAUCGAAAUGGUCUAUGCCGAUAGGCGAGGUCUGUUUUUGAACGGAAAGGCUGAGGCGGCAAGCGGCGCACCCACCUGCGAGAAGCGGGUUAACACUUUUUCGUUCUGCGGCACAGGCGGAUCCCCU
rnacentral:other from 1 species